rnacentral:lncRNA from 1 species
GUCCCGACAGCUGACGGCCAUGUUUCUGUUCCCUUUUCUUUUUUUUCUCCCCGUCCUUCCGCCCCUUUCCACUGAACAGCACUUUCCUUUUCCCCCUCCCUCUCCCUUUCCUACUGCGGGGGCGGGUGGACAAGGACGUGGGGGAGGGGAGGGCAGGGCAGGGCAGGGGCGGGGCGGCGCCGGGGCCACGCCCCCGGGGCGGGGCGGGGCGGGGCGGGCCGCGCGGCCUCUGCUCCCCUCCCCUCCCCCACCCCCCGCGGCGACCCCCGCGGGGCGCGAGGUCGCCGCCCGGGCCCUUCGCAGCCCUUCCUGCGCGUCGGCGCGGCGGGUCCCCUGCGGGAGCGGCGCGGGAGGACGGGCCCUGGGCGCCGCUUCGCACCCCUCCUACGGGCGGGCUGACCGUGUGGUGCGGGCUUAUUGCCUUGGCCUCGGGCAGGUGGCGGCCGCUCCUCGCGGCUGUAUCCAAGGCGGGCCGAGGGAGUCCCUCGGAGUCCGUGACGAGCCUGCCGGCGGGGAGCGACCCCUGGAAGACAACAUUCGUUCCCACGAUGCGUGCAAAGUCCUUCCGCCUUCAUGCAAAAUUUGCAAAAUGUUUUUGACAGCGUUUGGAAGUUACUAGAUGAGAAAGAAUAACAACCAGUUAUUCGAUUUGGAAUAACCAACAUAUGACAGACUUCCAAAAAAUAUGUGAUAAGUGACUGAAAUAAAUCAUGGUUCCCUCACUUUCUUCCACUCUAUCAUCAGGCGAGUUACUUAAUUUACCUCAUGUAUAAAGUGAGUAAAAUUCUAUUAGUAAAAAGUGAGAUCAUUUAGUAAUUUACAAUAAGCUAUAAUAUCAAACAGACCAGUCCAGUAAUCAAUAUUUAGCACAUGUGAUAGGCAGCCUUUCAUUGUGUCUUAUAAUGAUCCCUACUUCCUGAUUUAUGCUCUUGUGUAAUCUCCUUCCACUGGCUGUGGGGUGGAUUUAUGGAUGAGCUUCUAACACACAGAAUACAUCAGAAGUGAUGAGAUGUCUCUAACAAGAUGAGACUAUUAAAAAAGACCUGUGCCUUCACUCAUGGAUUCUUUCUCUCUCACCUUCUGGAUUGCUUCCUCUGGGGGAAGCCAGCUACCAUGUCAUCAGGCAGCCGUGUGAACGAGUUCAGAAGUGUAUCCUAGCCAAGUUGAGCCUUGAGAUGACUGUAGCCACAGCCAAAACCUCUAUUUCAGCCUCCUGACAGACCCUGAGCCAGAAUUGCCCAACUAAGCUGCUCCUACAUUCCUUACUUACAGAACUGUGAGUUAAGAAAUGUUUCUUGUUUCCAGCUGCAACAUUUGGGGGUUAAUUUGUGACAUAACAAAAAUAAUUAAUACAUUAUAGUCAUACCUGGAUGAUAACAAGUGUGCAUUCACGGUAGCUAAUCCUUGACUAGGGUUUAGCAUGCGAUUCUUAGCAUCCUAUCAUGCUAAAUUUAAGUAUAGUGGUUAUAAUUGCAGUAAAAGAAGGUAAGAAAAGUGGAAAGACUAACUUCUCCUGAUCAGUUAUUUAUAAACUAUCUUUGCUCCAAAAGAGUUCACUAAAAUGUAUUUCAUAUGAUAUCUUGGAUUUGCUUCAAAAUAAUGCAAGGAGGGAUACAAUAGUGAGUAAAUAUGAGUUUAGGUAAAACAAAAUUGGACACAAGAUGAAAUGGAGUGAUUGCUACUGGGGGUUCUUAGAGUUCUCUACUUUUAAUAACUUUUUAAUUUUUUCAUAAUAAAAAGGGUAGCUUUAAGAUUUCAUGGAAUCAUGAGUUUGUAGUAGAGGGGAAACUUUAGAGAUCGUCUAUUCUAAUUAAGUCAUUUGAUAGAUGGGGACACUAAGGCCCAGCAAAGUUUACUGACUUACCUAGAGUCUUCCCAGGCUCAGCUUUAGUGAUUUCAUGGUUGAGUAUGGAGAAACUACUAAUAAGUUCUUAACCCUUUAUUUUCUCAGUCAGAAUAACUUAACUCUAGAUUCCCUAGGAUAGCCUCCACAGCAUGAAAAUCUGAGCCUGAUCUCUACUUUCCAGUGUAUAAGCCACUUGUCAUACACUGGCAAGUUAUUUGGUUCCAGCCCCUUACUCAUCAAUUUUCAAAAACACAGGAUUUGAAGGCCUGGUGUUUUAUGCCUGCAGGCACUGUGUUAUCCUUCUAGAAAAGAGUUUUAAGUAACAAUGACAUCAACAAACACUAGAUCUGCAUUAUUCAUGUAUCUAAAUGAGCCAGUGUGUCCUACUCUCCACAAGGAGCAUUAGCACACUCUCUUUGUGUUCUACUCCAGUAUCUUAUCUGACUGUGGACUCUGUCCCAGCAUUAUCAGAAUGACCUCAUCUAGAGUCUUUUGGAAUUACUCAGCAUAAUCUUUAUCCAACUCUCCUUACUAGGCCUGCAGGCCAAACAUAGAUGGACUCUAGGUGGAGAGGGUUGGCACAAGGCUCCUGAUCUUGAGUCAAAAUAGAGUAAAUGAUCCUGAGAACAAAUCAUAAAGAGUUGGGAUUAGCAAAAGGAAGAAACACAGACAGGGGACGCCUGGGUGGCUCAGCAGUUGAGCAUCUGUCUUGGGCUCAGGGCGUGAUCCUGGGGUCCUGGGAUCGAGUCCCGCAUCAGGCUCCUUUCAGGGAACCUGCUUCUCCCCCUGCCUAUGUCUCUGCCUGUGUGUGUGUGAUCAAUAAAUAAAUAAAAUCUUUUUAAAAAGAAGAAGAAGAAAAACAGAAAGAAAUAAUGGGUGGAGAGGUUGAUAGGAAGACAGCCUAUUCUUACUGUUGCCUGUCAUGACUAGAAUUCAACUCUUACCUGCUUCUUCCCAACCCCUUUUUCUGGGCUUUAAUUCUUUUUUUUCCUCACAUCAUAUCAAAUUGUCCUGACCACAGACCAAGAAAUACAUGUAUUGUAGGGGCAUUGGGUGGUACAGUUGGUUAAGCAUCUGACUCUAGUUUUUGGCUCAGGUUGAGAUCUCAGGGUCUUGAAACCAAGCUUUUUCUGGGGCAUGGAGUCUGCUUGAGAUUCUAUCUCCUUCUCCUUCUGUCCCUUCUGCUUAUGCGCUCGCUCUGUCUCAGAUAAAUAAGUAAAUCUUUUUUUAAAAAAAGAAAUAUAUGUAUUCUGUGUUUCAAAGAUCAAUUUUUUUAAAAAAUUUUAUUAAGAAAACAGGGCAGCCUGGGUGGCUCAGUGGUUUAGCACUACCUUCAGCCCAGGGUCUGAUCCUGGAGACCUGGGAUCGAGUCCCACAUCUGGCUUUCUGCAUGGAGCCUGCUUUUCCCUCUGCCUGUGUCUCUGCCUCUCUCUCUCUCUCUCUCUCUCUCUCUUUCUGUGUCUCUCAUGAAUAAAUAAAUAAAAUCUUUUAAAAAUUUUUUAUUAAGAAAACAAGAACAAUAAGAUAUAAGCAUCAAUAAAAAUAAUAGUAUAGGGACAUCUGAGUGGCUCAGCGGUUGAGCACCUGCCAUUGGCCCAGGGCGAGAUCCUGGAGUCCCACAUCGGGCUCCCUGCAUGGAGCCUGCUUCUCCCUCUGCCUAUGUCUCUGCCUCUCUCUCUCUGUGUGUCUCUCAUGAAUAAAUAAGUAAAAUCUUUUUUUAAAAAAAUAGUAUAGGGACGCCUGGGUGGCUCAGCGGUUGGGCGCCUGCCUUCGGCUCAGGUCAUCAUCCCGGGAUCCGGUAUCAAGUCCCACAUUGGGCUCCCUGUAAGGAGCCUGCUUCUCCCUCUGCCUGUGUCUCUGCCUCUCUUUCUGUCUGUAUCUCUCAUUAAUAAAUAAAUAAAUCUUUUAAAAUAAAUAAUUUAAAAAAUUUUUAAAUUGUAUAAUGAACUCUUCUGAGUUUAUCACUUAGCUUCAACUCAUAGUUAAUCUUGAUUCCAUGUAUCCCAUUCCCCACUCCCCUCUUCUCCCUCAGUAUUUUGAAGCAAAUAAUUGGCAUUUCAUUUCAUCAGCAAAUACUUCAGCAUGUAGAUCUAGAAGAUAUGGACUUUAAAAAAUAAAAAGUACGAGGCCACUGUCACUACUAAAAAUUAUUUUAGGGCAGCCUGGGUGGCUCAGCGGUUUAGGGCCACCUUCAGCCCAGGGCCUGAUCCUGGAGACCCGGGAUCGAGUCCCACAUCAGGCUCCCUGCAUGGAGCCUGCUUCUCCCUCUGCCUGUGUCUCUGCGUCUCUCUCUCUGUGUGUGUGUCUCUCAUGAAUAAAUAAAUAAAAUCUUUUUUAAAAAUAAAAAAAUUAUUUUAAUUAAUAUUUUGUUCAAUAUUUUGUUAUUUUUGAAUGAGAAAAAACCUAUGAAAUAUUGAUAAGGUAUCCUGUCUCACCCCUUCUACUCCUCAUGGAUCUAUAUAACUCCUGCCUGGAGGGUUUGAGUUUGCAAUACACCUCUGAUUGAUAAACCAGAAUGAUGCUGCUCAGGUUCCUCCAUGAUUCAGGGGGUAUAGGGUGUGGACUCUCUCCAACGAAAUUGUCCCCCUUAAAGAUAUUUCACUAUUUAGAUCAAAGACCCCAUAAUAUUUAAGAAUCAGAGUCUGCCUAAAAGCCUCAAAUUAAUAUUCAAUUUCUGACAUUUAAUAUGAGUUCAAUAAGCACUGUAUUGUUUUAAUACCCUGACAAAGAAAUAAUUGGGAUCUGGUGCUAAUACCCUUUAGCACCUACUCAAAUUUUCCCCUACUUUUAUGGUUCCUUUCAGACAGAAAAGGAGAAAAUGAACUGAAUACUAGAAGGUGUCUCAAAAGGAUUAAUAGAAACCAGAAUAAGGGGGAUCCCUAGGUGGCUCAGUGGUUUAGGGCCUGCGUUCAGCCCAGGGCCUGAUCCUGGAAUCCCAGGAUUGGGUCCCACAUCUGGCUCCCUGCGUGGAGCCUGCUUCUCCCUCUGCCUGUGUCUCUGCCUCUCUCUCUCUCUCUCUCUGUGUGUGUGUCUCUCAUGAAUAAAUAAAAUAAAAUCUUUUAAAAAAAGACAAUAAUUUCAACCCCUUUUUGUUGUUCACUCCCAAAUUUACCUCUCUAGCCACAAAUUUACUUGGGCUAUCGACUCAACCAUCAAACUACCCCCAUGGUUUAUUGUUCAUCAAAUAUUUUAUUUAUUUAUUUGAGAGAGAGAGAGAGCAUAAGAGAGAGAUCACAAACAGUGGGGAAGGAUAGAGGGAGAAGCAGACUCCCCACCAAGCAGGGAGCCUGAUGCAGGACCUAUGACCAAGCCAAAGGCAGACACUUAACCAACUCAGUCACACAGAUGUCCAACCUCUAAUGUUUAAAUGACAUCUAACAUUUUACAUGUUUAAAACACAACUCUUAAUUCCCUCCCUGCAUUAUAUCUGCCCACCCCCCAACAAAACUAUUCCUUUUUAAGUUCCCUCAUUUUAUUAUUUGGCGCCAUCAUCUUCCCUAUCUUGCCAAAUGAUGUCCUCUUCAACCCCCAGAUCCAAAGGUGGAUCACAUGAACUAGGUGUUAGGGAGGAUGUCAUUUGGCAAGAUAGAGAAGAAAUGGAGCUGGGGUCAGCAUUGGGAGGACUGUCCAGG